GUCUGUCUGUCUGUCUGUCUGUCCGCCUAUGCCAAGGAGUUUACAGUAAUAUGUAGCAUAGUGUAUUCAGUAACCUCACCCUGCAGUUAACACGAAUGAAAAAUAAUUUGUCUGUUCUUUUUUUUUUACGUGGGGUCCGUGUGCAGCAACUGGAAUGAUGACAACAAUUUUCCGUUUUAAAUUACAUGUAGUUUCUUGUUGCUUAAUUAACGUGUAGCGGUUCCACAGAAUUCUACACUUAGUGUAGAAUUCUGUGAGCGGUUCCAAAUGUGUGAGAAGUGCUUUAGCAUGUAGGUCCGCACUUAAAUAAGUGCAGCGACACAAUAGACAUACAUGAUAUUUACAGGUCUUAGUCAGAAAUAAAUAAUUUUUUUGAAAGAUUCGUUAACCUAAUAGGGGAGUUAUUCUAAGAAAAGCAGGCUUGUCAGGCAUGCAUCAAUUAUAAGAAGGAACGUUAUUACACGUUAUUGUAAUUUAUAGAAAUUUACCGGGGUAGGUCCGGCACAGUUUGGUUUAUCCACGUUAGAGAGCAAGGAGCUAAAAUAAUAAUCGUUUUUCUUUUUAAAUCCCAAAAGUCCAAAUUAAUGGUAUAUUAUGAGAUUAUAAUUUGAAUAGCGUGUUUUCCUGUGUCUUCUAAUUUUGGAAAGAACGUGGUUUUGCUUUUAUUAUUUGUUUGACCAAACUCCAUUUUGCUAAGUCUAAACGUAGGCCUUGGCCAAAAUUAAUUGGCUGUUCUCUCUUAUUUUCUCUUUUUGUUGUUGUUGCUGUUGUUGUUGUUGUUGUUAUUGUUAUUGUUGUUGUUGUUGUUGUUGUUGUUGUUGGUUUGAUUAUUUCAACGCAGCAGUUAAUUCUGAUCAGUAUGGAGAUUGAUGGUCCAAAAAAUGAUUUUUCUAGGUGCUCAAAACAGAUUUAUGAACCGAGAGACACUUAUGAUACAACCCCCAAAACACAAGCGAGAGGUGUAGGUAGAAUCUAUAGAUUUGUUUGAUUUGCAAAACACAAUUUACACUUCAUGUUUUGAAGAGAAUAUUUAAAAAGUUUAACAUCCGCUUUGGCUGUCACAAAGUUUACAUCGGAAAUCGGAAAGCUGUGAACUUUCGGUAUGCUGUAUCAUAACUGAACUCAUACUGAAUUUCGUCGUAUUUGGAACAGAGGGAUGACUUAUCUAAUAACUAUUUUGUUGAUUAUGGCUUCUCUCCACCGAAGUUAACGAUAGUAUGGGAGCAAAACGAGACAUGGAUAGUGAAAAAGAACAAUACCCGAAUUUGGAAAAUCCAAGAACAGAUGAUACAAUUGGAGCUUAUGAAGAUGGCUCUUCUCAACACCUUGCUGCAUCUGCUUCUUCUCCAUCGUUGCUGACGGGCUGUGGUGAUACGACCACCACGACUGGGGUCAUUAUAGACAGACACAUCCAGUCGCACCAUGUACUUGGUGACAAUUUCCUAGCAGAUGCAUCACCACAAAGUCGAGGAUCUUCCCGUUUUUCGUCUUUCCCAACGUCACCCACUACUCCGAACCCUCCUGUACUAGAUGCCGUCUUCCUUACACCGAAUCCGCCCCGUCCUCGUGGUGUGACACCAGAACGACCCAGUAGUGCCCCGCCCCACCAUCUAGAAAAAAUUUCGGGCACUUUGCUUCGGUUGGUGGGUGACCACUAUAUGUGCUCCACAUGCGGUCGCCAGCUCCGUACUAUGGGAGAUCAGUUGUCUGUAGAAACAGAACUGAAACAUGUCUUAAGCUCAGGGGAUUUACGACAGUUUCAAAAUGUUUGAUUUUUAUGCUUUUCAUCAGGAGUAAUAGAAAGGAUUGUUGAGUUGAAUGUCCAGGUUCUGAAUGCUAAUUACAUUUUUGUUGUCAUGGGCAGAAAUUAAAUGAUUAUUUUGUACUUUUGAAAUUUGAGAAAUACUGACCGCUACGGUAUUUUAUGAUGAUGAAUGACUGAAGAAACACUGAAUGGUUUUAUGACUGCAGUAUGGUAGCUAUACUAUAAUGGGGAAGAGAUGACAUCACAAGUUACUGUUGCUAGUUUUUAACCUGCUCUAAACAACACAUUUUGCAUUCCCGGGUAUAUCAAGAUGUGGAAAGUUGUGCAAAUCCAUGAGGUACCAGGUAUGUCAACAUGGCGUUGAAGAAGUUGAUGUUAUAUCUCUUCUAUGUUAUGAAGAGUGAACAGCUUCUAAAUCUAGGAUUUCUUUAGGGUUUUACAUCUUCUUUCUUCACAAUGUUAUUUAUUCUGAAAGAUGUACUUCUGAGAUAGUACUUAUCCUGUGUGGUGUGUCAGUGCCCUUCUCAAUCUUUUAAUAGAGGCAUUGUGGAACUCUACAUUCCAGUUACAGCUGAGUUUCCAGUGUGCUUUUUUUGUGAACCUCAGGUCAGAGGAAAUCAAGACGUAUGACUUCACACCUUGGCAUGAAGAGCUAUAACUAUACUAUGAUACAGUGAUUACUGGCAUCUCUGUUGUUAAGACUGUAUAGUGCCUUAGACACCUUCUGGAAAGCUCUGGUUCAAAGUCAGAUUUCAUUGUCCAGAAAACUUUAUGGAAUGGCAAAUGUUUGAUGUGUUGCAGUGCUCAAAUUAAAAGGAAGUUAGUUCUACAGCAUUUGCAAAUCUGAAGAGCAGCUAGCACUUUUUUCUGUUUCCAUGGCAUAAUGUAUGCUUUAUAUCUGUAUGUCAAAAUAAGUGCCGAUAUAUGAUUUAUAACAGGGUAUUUCAAUUUCAGUGAUUGAAUUUAAGAAGUUUUCAUUUUUGAGAUAGAACUCAAACUAUUUUAUUCGUGAGGUAAAUGGCUAAAACAUGUCAUAAUCUACAUACGAAAUUUCUUUUGAUUUGAUGAACUCUUAAGUUAUUUAUUUUAUUAUUCAGUAAAACCUUGUAGUAGACUUAAAAUGUACUAUCGGCUGUAAUGUUUACUUUCUGAAGCCCGAAGUCCCUUUUAGUAUUUUUACUUUUAUUGGCUAACACAACCCUUGGCUAAGACAUUCAAAAUCUUGGGUCCAAAAUAGAGUACAUACCAAGGUUUUACUGUGUAUACUAUUUGUUGUAAAAUAUUUACUCUAAUUGGCAGCCUUUCUGGUUAAAGUUAAAGCACCACUUUGAAGUUUGAGAUCUUUGUUUCCUGUUUUUCUCAAUGAAUGAAUUUAAAUAGUGAUUUCUUCCUGUCUCCUAGUGUAUGGUAAAAUGUUACGAUGGUACUAAGAAAUAUGGAGCUUAUAGUCUCAGUCUCAUUCAGAUGGACUUGAUAAUAUGCUGUCCUGUCCGAUAGAAUGGAGAACUUUUAAGACACUCUUACACCAGAGUCAUACUUUUUGUCAUUUUAGUCAGUUGAACUGGUAGUAGGCCUACUCCCUCCCCCUCCUCUUGGCUAAGACAUUUUGAGACGACAAAUAUCAUUUGAUUCAGCGGCUCUCAACUAUAACUUAACAACUCUAGUUUGAAAAUUUUACAUUUACAAUUUUUGUGCUUUUGAUCAAUGUUUUACAGUAAAAUGUAGAUCUAUACAGAAAUGUGUUUUUGAAUAUGCAUAAAAGGUGCUGAGCCAAAAAAAGAAAAUUCAUUAAAAAAAUGUCCAACGGCCAGGAAAAUGCCGGUUCUUUUAUUUCAUUAAUUUGACAAGCUCCUGGUUUUACCAUGAUGCCCCACAUAUGUUAUUUAGAUGUUGAUUUUUUGCCCCACAUGGACAACAGGUAAAAGGGAGAAAAUAUUUCAUUUCUGAAUUUCAGUUGACAGUAUAACUUGGUAAGGGUUACAUGUUGUAUACUGGGAAAUGGGUGUCAUUGAAACACUAAUUAAAUUUGAUAUAUUCAUCUAUGUUCCUGAUUGUGUGAAAAAUGACAGAAGUGUUGAUUUAUUAAAUGUUUGUUGUACUUUGUUAAAAGAAGGCCUAAAAGUAGUAGAUUUUCUAGGAGCAUAAUCAUUUGUGUCCCUGCCGGUCAAUAUCAGUCAUAUAAAUGAAAUUUCAAAAUUUAGUCAAUAUCAUUUCCUAAAACUGUCACCAUUUGUGUACAGUUUGGGGGGAAAAAUGAAGUAAAUAAGACAUUAUUUGACAAAAAUAUGGCACUUCUAAGUAUGCAAGGUGCGGAAACACAAAAAGGAGAAAACGGGUUCCAAAGUUGAGCAACAUGUUUCCAUAGCAACGGGGGUUUUAGAUUUGAGAUAGAGACUUCAAAUUUGGCAGAUAUCUUGGCUAUGCCACUAUAAGGUAAGACACAAAAGUAGAAAACUAUUCAUUCUCAGGAAAAAAGCUUAUGGACAAAACGCAAUUUUAACGAGAAUGGUGUUCACGCUAAAUACAACAACGGGUUAGCAUUGUAGGUCCUACUAGUACUAGGUAACAGAAACUAAAUUUUUUAAGUAGCUGUAUGUCAAAUGUAUCUGUUCCACAUGAAAGGCCUGUAUCUUCUGUGAAUUUUGAUACCAUACUUUAACCUCUCAGUCCAUUUUUAAGAAACUGGCAGCUGUUUUAAUUUAAUAUAUAAUCGAACAGUACUAAAUUUGCUAACCGACUGCAGAUAAUAAAGAGUACCAAGUUCACCAAAAAUCUCCACAUUAACAGAGUACAAGCACUAUAACAUAGAAAUGGAUCCUAAUUUUUUUUGGGACUUUGAGAACAUUGCAAAUCAGUAUUUUAUUGCCUCUAAUACGAUUAUUUUGAUUUUAAAAAGCACCGAGCGCUGUCCCGGCCAGCACCGCACCGGUUCCCGCGGCGAGCAAGGCAGCUCUAACUGUAGUAUACUGAGUGCUCCCGGGGUGCAGUUUCUUGAAAGGAUUGAUGCAAAAUAAUUCCAAGCCGGUGACUUUAUUCUAAUAGAAAAAGAACUGUUCUUUCUAUUGGUACCUUUUUUGAGUCGUUAUUUUACAUAAUUCAUGUUAUGGCCAAAGGCGAAAAA